rnacentral:rRNA from 1 species
UACGUAGGGUCCGAGCGUUGUCCGGAAUUGUUGGGCGUAAAGGGCUCGUAGGCGGUCCGUCACGUCGGGAGUGAAAACUCAGGGCUCAACCCUGAGCGUGCUUCCGAUACGGGCGGACUAGAGGUAUGCAGGGGAGAACGGAAUUCCUGGUGUAGCGGUGGAAUGCGAAGAUAUCAGGAGGAACACCGGUGGCGAAGGCGGUUCUCUGGGCAUUACCUGACGCUGAGGAGCGAAAGCAUGGGGAGCGAACAGG